rnacentral:rRNA from 1 species
GAUGAACGCUAGCGGCAGGCUUAAUACAUGCAAGUCGUGGGGCAGCAUGAGUAGCAAUACUUGAUGGCGACCGGCAAACGGGUGCGGAACACGUACACAACCUUCCGAUAAGUGGGGAAUAGCCCAGAGAAAUUUGGAUUAAUACCCCGUAACAUAUAGAGUAGGCAUCUUCUUUAUAUUAUAGCUUCGGCGCUUAUUGAUGGGUGUGCGUCUGAUUAGGUAGUUGGCGGGGUAACGGCCCACCAAGCCUACGAUCAGUAGCUGAUGUGAGAGCAUGAUCAGCCACACGGGCACUGAGACACGGGCCCGACUCCUACGGGAGGCAGCAGUAAGGAAUAUUGGACAAUGGGCGAAAGCCUGAUCCAGCCAUGCCGCGUGAAGGAUUAAGGUCCUCUGGAUUGUAAACUUCUUUUAUUUGGGACGAAAAAAGGGAAUUCUUUCCCACUUGACGGUACCAAGUGAAUAGGCACCGGCUAACUCCGUGCCAGCCGCCGCAGUAA